GGGCCCUCGGGGCCUCCCGUUGCGCGCGGCCUCGGCCCCGGCCCCGCGCGGCCCGGCCCUCGUGCCUUCGUGCCCUCAGGGUUCCCUCCAUCUUGGAAGCUUUUUCCCAUUUUGUUUUCCCAGCCGCUUUGGCCGUGGAAAUGCCCUUUAAUUUGUGUUAGGGUUUCGGACGUGCGUGCUGUUUCCAGUUCGAAAUCGUGUCUUUGGCAUUCGGCUUUGAGCCCGAGACAGCCCGCACGUGCGGUGCGCUUUCCGUGCGCAUUCCGAAACCCUCUUGGUAGCCUGGCUCUCGCGCUUCCAGGGUAUGCGUGAAUGCGACAGCAACGCAGGGAGUCCAAGGACUGUGCUUCUGUGGCUCCGUCCCAUUUCCUACCUGCGAUAUUUCCGAGAGCUUUACGGGAGGGGAAUCAAAACCCUCGUGACCGCUGUGAACGCCCGGCGGCCUCUUCUGCAGCAAGUCUGUUUCAGUAAAUGUUUUUGUAAAUCCAAGUUACUCAGCCAAAUCAUUUCUUGAAGUUCAGAUUGAUGGUCGCCAUUAAAGCCCGCGAGCACGGAGAAGCGACGGCCCUGUCCCUACUUGUCCUGUAAAGCUGCCGAGGCUCUGCAGUGUCGAGUACCCACGUGGGGCCGGCAACCGCGUGGUCGUACACCGCCAGCUACUCACCCGGAGUUAGGGGGUUUCAAACCUGUGGCCGGCGAAUGUGGGGGGUUGCAGAUACAGGGCUUUGUAAUGGGUUAACUCUUUCUGUGCAAAUCCUGCAGUCCUCUUGCUGAAAACCAUUUUUUGGUCGAAAUCAUAGGCGUUAACAUUUUAGGCAAGUUGAAUGUUACUUUCAGCUUUUCUUUUCCAUGAUUUUCAAUCCAAAGCUUUUUUUUCUAGCUUUAGCUGUAACGUGAUGAUUUAAGUGAAUUACUAGCUGCAGCACUAACCUUGGGCAAACUUCAAACUUCACACUUGAGCUUUUCUUAUUUUUUUUUUGUAAAAUCGGACAGCAAUUGUAGGGUUUAGUGUAGAGUUUAGUACCGAAUGUUAUAGUCCUCAUUACUUUUGUUAGUUUGCUGCUGGGGAAGAGAGUGCAAGUGAGAAAGUGCCCUUGGCUACGCCCCACCCCUUCCCCAUUUCUCCUUUUUGGAUUUUGGAAUGCUGGCCCUGCAGGCUGCAUGUUUCUCAGCCCCUGCCGCUGCCACCACCACUGUGGACUUCAGAGCCUUCAGUGAAGCCAGCCGCCCGCCAGAGCCACCAUGCCCCUGAUGGCUUGACAUUUUUAUUUUUAUGAAUAGAAUGAUUUUGUAUUUCUCGAUUUUUGUUGGCAAGUCACACUUUGGAGCCCCUUUGCAGUCUGUUUAUAGUUAAUUGCAUGACCGAGUUUAAGGACUUGAGAGUAUUUUCACUUGCACAGUGAAGUUGACUUCAGUUUUUUUUUUACCCUAUAAUUUCCAAUAGAACAUUACAUCUGCAAUAAAAAAGCAGUCCGUCGGGGUUUAGCUGGUGGCCUAGUGGUUAAGGUGGCUGUAUCCUCAUGGCUGACUACGUGGUUCCAGUGCCAGACCCAGUGGUUUGAAAAAGAUGCCUGGUGUGGGUGUUUGCAUGCCCAAAAAUUCCCAGAGGAGAGAGGAUUGUGGUGCAGCCAUCUCCCAUGUAGCUUCUUGGCAUUGUUGACUUAUUGUUACUGUUAUUUUAGGUUUUUGCCAUGAGAGGGAGAGUGAGAACUCAUCUGGGGAUGCGGGAGGGCAGAGGCACGGUCCCUUCUCCAUUCUCCCUGGAUUUUGGGUUUUACCCGUCUGUCUGGAGUUUGGCAAACAGAUCUCCGUCUUUGGGUAUCAGGAUUAGGAUUUCUCGUAUUUUUGAAUCUGUCAAGGGAUGUUACUUUCCUGCCUUUGGUUUCUCAUAGCAGUCCUGUAGGGUUAGGCAGCUCUUAGGUUGGGGGUUGAAGAGAAUUAUUUGCCCAAGGUCACCAGCUAGUAAGUAGUAGAGUCUUUUUCGUGGCCUGGGCACAUAUUCCCUAUGCUCAUAGUGACGGUUCUGUAAGUACUUGAUGAAGAAAAGCCCUUAAUGAGGGAAUGUCUCAAUUCUGAAGACGUAGAUGGCACUUGUCACGAACUGGACACUGCUAAAACACUUCCCAUGGGUUAAGUACUCAUUUAACCCUUGCAGCUGUGGAGUGGGUUCUGUUCUUAGACCCUAUCUAUGCAGAAAGUGGG